UUACCUGGUUUGAUCCUGCCAGUAGUCAUAUGCUUGUCUCAAAGAUUAAGCCAUGCAUGUCUAAGUUCAGACCCUUCCUUAGUGUGAAACCGCAAACGGCUCAUUAAAUCAGUCAUUAUUUACUGGAUGAUGGUUAUUCGUUACUUGGAUAACCGUGGCAAUUCUAGAGCUAAUACAUGCAACUGAGCUCCGACACCCGGCCCUUACGUUCGGAUAACGUUCCUAGUUCGGGUCGCGGUGGAAGGGCGCAAUUAUUAGGUUCCACAAACCGAGCGGGCUCUCGAGCCCGAUAACUACUUGGUGGUGGUGACUCUGGAUAAUAUUGCUGAGCGUUGAGGCCUUCGCGCCGACGCUACAUCCUUUGAGAGACUGCCUUAUCAGCUUAUUCGUAUGGUAAACGCCUACGAUGGCUGUAACGGGUAACGGGGAAUCUGGGUUCGAUUCCGGAGAGGGAGCCUGAGAAACGGCUACCACAUCUAAGGAAGGCAGCAGGCACGCAAAUUACCCACUCCCGGCACGGGGAGGUAGUGACGAUAAAUAACGAUGCGGGACUCUUCCGAGGCCUCGCAAUCGGAAUGAGUUUACCCUAAAUCCUUGAGCGAGGAUCCAUUGGAGGGCAAGUCUGGUGCCAGCAGCCGCGGUAAUUCCAGCUCCAAUAGCGUAUAUUAAAGUUGCUGCGGUUAAAAAGCUCGUAGUUGGACUUUGGGUCCGUAUCGGGGGCCCACCCAAGGCUCGGCCUCGGCGAGGUUUCGCUGCUAAGCGAGUAGGUCUCCGCCGCGUUGUUGUCGAUUCGGCGAACGCGCGAUCGGGUGGUACCUAGCGGGUACGCGGUUGAGUAAGGUUCUCGGUCUCGGCUUUGAACGGUGAGGUAGGUUAGGUGCUCUUGGCGUAGGACUUCGGCCCUCGUCAUUCAUCUAGUUCCUCCUCUCUCGUCGGCCCCGUUCCGUUAACCCCAAAUGCCACGUGCUACGCUGUGCCAAACCGUCCGCGGCGCCGCUUCUUCCUUCGCGACGCCCAUUCUCGUAGCGUCCUCGUCCCGAGUCACCGAACCUAGGUGGUUAAUCCCCCGACUACGGGUUUAUUAAACAGACCGUUGGCGCUCACGGGAUGCUCUUUACCGAGUGUCCCGCGUGGCCGAUGACGUUCACUUUGAAAAAAUUAGAGUGCUCAAAGCAGGCAAAAAUUAACGCCUGAAUGUUUAUGCAUGGAAUGAUGGAACAGGACCUCGGUUCUGCUUAUCUUUUCUCUCGGUUUUAAAUGAACCCGAGGUAAUGAUUAACGGAGACGGACGGGGGCAUUAGUAUUGCGGCGCGAGAGGUGAAAUUCUUGGACCGUCGCAAGACUAACUACUGCGAAAGCAUUUGCCAAGAACGCUUUCAUUAAUCAAGAACGAAAGUUAGAGGAUCGAAGGCGAUCAGAUACCGCCCUAGUUCUAACCUUAAACGAUGCUAACUAGCGAUCCGCUUAUGUCAUUCCCACGACUGAGCGGGAAGCCCCCGGGAAACCAAAGUUUUUGAGUUCCGGGGGUAGUAUGGUUGCAAAGCUGAAACUUAAAGGAAUUGACGGAAGGGCACCACCAGGAGUGGAGCCUGCGGCUUAAUUUGACUCAACACGGGGAAACUUACCAGGCCCAGACACUGGAAGGAUUGACAGAUUGAGAGUUCUUUCUCGAUUCGGUGGUUGGUGGUGCAUGGCCGUUCUUAGUUGGUGGAGUGAUUUGUCUGGUUAAUUCCGAUAACGAACGAGACUCUACCCUACUAACUAGUCGGGAGGAUCGNAUCCCUANGUCGGGAUCACUUACCGCGGNGUGGUCGAUACGAUUCGCGAGCUUCANGGAUAUCAAAACAACNNGMUCGAUCUUCCGCGCCCUAAUUGAAGUUUCNGCUCAUCCUCCUCUCGGGGGGGUCGUGGGUCGGGAGGGAUCGUAACGGGUUAGCGGGGGGGCUGGCUCCUUGGUGCCUGCUCGCGUUCGGAAAGCCUCCUAUCUAGCGUGUUGCUCUGCUUAGGGGCGUCCAUCGCACAGUCUUCUUAGAGGGAUCGGUGGUUUCUAGCCGCACNAUAYAGAGCAAUAACAGGUCUGUGAUGCCCUUAGAUGANCUGNGCNNCACGCNCGCUACAAUGCANGGUGCAACGUGCUACUCCCCUUCCGAGAGGAAAAGGUAACCGUGUAAACCCCUUCCCAAUUGNAAUUGGGGCUUGNNAUUGUUCCCCAUGAACNAGGAAUUCCCAGUAANCNCAAAUNACNANUCUGUGAUGAUUAAGUCCCUGCCCUUUGUACACACCGCCCGUCGCUACUACCGAUUGAAUGAUUCAGUGAGGACGUCGGACUGGCGCCCCCGGCAUCCUACCUUGAAUACCGACUCUCCCCCUGUCUUUGGCAGCGUGUGGGUUCAUAGAGCCGCUUUCUCGGAGGCGCCCCGGGCAGACCUGAAAGACNUCCAAACUUGAUCAUUUAGAGGAAGUAAAAGUCGUAACAAGGUUUUCGUAGGUGAACCUGCGGAAAGGAUCAAC
rnacentral:rRNA from 1 species